UGGGGAAUUUUGGACAAUGGGCGAAAGCCUGAUCCAGCAAUGCCGCGUGUGUGAAGAAGGCCUUCGGGUUGUAAAGCACUUUUGUCCGGAAAGAAAUCCUUGGCUCUAAUACAGUCGGGGGAUGACGGUACCGGAAGAAUAAGCACCGGCUAACUACGUGCCAGCAGCCGCGGUAAUACGUAGGGUGCAAGCGUUAAUCGGAAUUACUGGGCGUAAAGCGUGCGCAGGCGGUUUGCUAAGACCGAUGUGAAAUCCCCGGGCUCAACCUGGGAACUGCAUUGGUGACUGGCAGGCUAGAGUAUGGCAGAGGGGGGUAGAAUUCCACGUGUAGCAGUGAAAUGCGUAGAGAUGUGGAGGAAUACCGAUGGCGAAGGCAGCCCCCUGGGCCAAUACUGACGCUCAUGCACGAAAGCGUGGGGAGCAAACAGGAUUAGAUACCCUGGUAGUCCACGCCCUAAACGAUGUCACUAGUUGUUGGGGAUUCAUUUCCUUAGUAACGUAGCUAACGCGUGAAGUUGACCGCCUGGGGAGUACGGUCGCAAGAUUAAAACUCAAAUGAAUUGACGGGGUCAUAGCUGUUUCCU
rnacentral:rRNA from 1 species